rnacentral:tRNA from 1 species
GGGGCGUUAGCUCAAUUGGUUAGAGCUGCGGACUUUUAAUCCGUAGGUUCCGGGUUCGAGCCCCGGGCGCCCUA